rnacentral:rRNA from 1 species
GAGGUCCUACGGGACGCAGCAGUGGGGAAUAUUGCACAAUGGGGGAAACCCUGAUGCAGCGACGCCGCGUGAGUGAAGAAGUAUUUCGGUAUGUAAAGCUCUAUCAGCAGGGAAGAAAUACUGACCUUACGGUCAGCAGACGGUACCUGACUAAGAAGCCCCGGCUAACUACGUGCCAGCAGCCGCGGUAAUACGUAGGGGGCAAGCGUUAUCCGGAUUUACUGGGUGUAAAGGGUGCGUAGGCGGGCUUGCAAGUCAGAAGUGAAAUCUAUGGGCUUAACCCAUAAACUGCUUUUGAAACUGUA